rnacentral:rRNA from 1 species
AGUGAACGCUGGCGGUAGGCCUAACACAUGCAAGUCGAACGGCAGCACAGUAAGAGCUUGCUCUUACGGGUGGCGAGUGGCGGACGGGUGAGGAAUACAUCGGAAUCUACUUUUUCGUGGGGGAUAACGUAGGGAAACUUACGCUAAUACCGCAUACGACCUACGGGUGAAAGCAGGGGAUCUUCGGACCUUGCGCGAUUGAAUGAGCCGAUGUCGGAUUAGCUAGUUGGCGGGGUAAAGGCCCACCAAGGCGACGAUCCGUAGCUGGUCUGAGAGGAUGAUCAGCCACACUGGAACUGAGACACGGUCCAGACUCCUACGGGAGGCAGCAGUGGGGAAUAUUGGACAAUGGGCGCAAGCCUGAUCCAGCCAUACCGCGUGAGUGAAGAAGGCCUUCGGGUUGUAAAGCCCUUUUAUUGGGAAAGAAAAGCAGCAGGUUAAUACCCCGCUGUUCUGACGGUACCCAAAGAAUAAGCACCGGCUAACUUCGUG